ACACUCCUACGGGAGGCAGCAGUGGGGAAUAUUGGACAAUGGGCGCAAGCCUGAUCCAGCCAUGCCGCGUGAGUGAUGAAGGCCCUAGGGUUGUAAAGCUCUUUCACCGGUGAAGAUAAUGACGGUAACCGGAGAAGAAGCCCCGGCUAACUUCGUGCCAGCAGCCGCGGUAAUACGAAGGGGGCUAGCGUUGUUCGGAUUUACUGGGCGUAAAGCGCACGUAGGCGGACUAUUAAGUCAGGGGUGAAAUCCCGGGGCUCAACCCCGGAACUGCCUUUGAUACUGGUAGUCUUGAGUUCGAGAGAGGUGAGUGGAAUUCCGAGUGUAGAGGUGAAAUUCGUAGAUAUUCGGAGGAACACCAGUGGCGAAGGCGGCUCACUGGCUCGAUACUGACGCUGAGGUGCGAAAGCGUGGGGAGCAAACAGGAUUAGAAACCCCUGUAGUCC
rnacentral:rRNA from 1 species